CAAGAGCAAGGUGGGAAGUUCUUGGAGGGAAGGAUGUCGGGGGUCUAUUUGGAAAUAGCCUCUCUACCCCAGGAUAGAGGUAAGGUCUGCGUACAUACUACCCUCCUCAAACCCCACUAAAAGGGAUUGUACUGGGUUGUUGUUGUUGUUGUUGUUGUUGUUGUUGUUGUUGUCUCUACAGUUAUAAUUUCUUAUAGUUGUUUGGCUGGAAAAGAGGCAAUUAACGACUUAAAUAUAUGUGAUAUUCAUCGUAGCAUAUGCACAUAGACUAUUAACUUUAAAGAAUGGUUGAAGUAACACAACACGAAAUAGUUCACUUACUUGCAUGGACUUCAUUAAUUCACCAUUUGUUUUAACUUGAACAACACCCUUAGCUUACUCAUCAGAGACAGAAACUUUGUUGAAAGAUGAUUUGAGUCAGCCUCUCAGAGAAACUAUCCUGAAUAUAAAGUAAUCUGUAUUUAACGAAGUGUAAAAUAUUUUGAUUGAAAAAAUAGAAUUGAGUAUUGAUGCAGUGAAUUUUUUUAUUAAACUAUUUUCUUAAAUCGUCAGAUUGAGAAAAAUUUGGAUUAAUCCAAAACUUUGAUACAUUUCAAGUAUUGCACACCGAAUAUAAAUCUACGAAAUAACGUAUGUGUAAUAUGUAUAGAAAUAACCUAUCCCAAAGUAAAGGCAUGUAAAUAAUUACAUUUUACCUUGAAAUUUAUGUGCUUUUAUAAGCUAUAAAAAUAAAAAGAUAAUUUUUAGCAUAUUGUAAUUGCCAAAUUCAUACAUAAUCAGUGAAUAAGUAUUUAUUCUUAAUCAACAUAUUUAAGUUCGACAUUCAUAACCUUUUCUAAAAAUUUCACCUUGUUUGUGCAUUUGAGCACAAAAUUUACCUGCCACGAGGAGCGGGCCAAGAAUGUCAAUAAUUGUAGAUAAAUGCUCAGGUGUAUCUUUGCAGAAAAGUAGAAGUCCACGGAUCGCUUGUACACGGACCUGGGAGUCAAUAAAGAAAAUACAAAAUUUAUUAGACACCACAUGGUAAAAGUCAAACGUAGUUCUAAAAUAUUUCAACUUCUUCACUAAUAAGCUACCAAUAACAACUAGUUUUUGAUAAUUUCUAUUAUAUAACAAUGAGUACACAACCUCAGUAAUGACAAUUCGCUGCAACCAGAAGUUAGCUUAGGAAUCUCAUCAAUCUACAAAAAAGAAACACAUCGUUAAGUGUUUACGUCCUUGUUCUUCCUAAAAAGAAUUUAUAUGAAAAAAAGAUGAAUAGCAUCUUCCCAUUACACAGUUACACAGUUACACAAAGAAAUAACAGAACAAUGAAGCAAACUAUAAUCCACACCCUAAAUUGAAUAAGCUAUCCAAAAGGGUAAUUAGAAGCUUUGUAUAGUUAGUUUAAACCUUCUUCAAGAAAGCGAUAAACCAGCAAGGAUUCAUGCACUAAGCCUAUGCGACUCUCACUUUUUCUGGGAAUCUAUUCGAGCUAAAUAGCAACGCAAUUGACGAAAUUAUUCACAAUUUGAGUCUCACUUAGUCCUUAGGAUUACUACCUCGUUUGUAGACCAAAAUGCACUUUCAAAAUCAUAUCAGAGCUAAAAUAGCAAUUCAACACCUCAAUCAAAUCAAUUACUUAAUAAAAAUUUCUGCAAGG
rnacentral:lncRNA from 1 species